GGCAAUAGAGUGGAUGCAUCAGGAUGAAUAUGAACUCCUUAUUACAAUCUGAAAAUUGAAGGAUUGGGGCUGACAUCAAACGCUCAUCUCCAUGUUUAAAGGCUUAAUCAUGUUCCGCUCCCUAGCUAUUAUGAUUCUAUUUCGGGGUUCAACGCUUCGCAAAGUGUUUAAUAAUGUGUCUGUAAUAGCCUAUGUGUCCCAAAAAAGAUCACACUACGCUCGGC
rnacentral:lncRNA from 1 species